UCUAAAAUUGUAAAAUAAGAUUUAAAAGAUAAAUUGUUCCUUCUGAUUUAACCCUGAAAACAUUAGUAGUGUAGUGAUUUUAUUAUCACGCACAAUCACUCAAAGUCUUACUUGCGUCACAUUAGCCGACAGCACUGUACUAUAAUGUACUAUUUCCAUUCUAAUUACCCAUUGAUAAAUUAGUGGACUUAAAAAGUAUUACCAUUCUAAUAACAACUGGGAACAAUUUUAGUUUUUAUCGUCUUUCUUAAUAAACUUGAUGCAUUAAUAUAAUAUUAUAUCAUAAAAUUUUGAUAUCAAAAUGUGUUAACUCUUCUUUUAAAUACCUAGGGAAAUUCAAUAUUUCUUAUCAGGAUAUAAAUCAAAAUAAGAUUAUUAAUUGACUAUUUUCCCCAGACAUUAAUAAUUUUGAACCAAAUCCAUUUUAAAAUUUGAUUUUUACCUUUUUUUUUUUUUUUUUAAAUAAUUACUGAAAUACAAAAUGAUACAACCCUGUGUGUGCCUCUCUGUAUAUUAUUCUUUACUAGAUAUGGCUAGAAGGUACUUUAAUAAAAGACAAUGCCCCCAUUUGUAGCCUCAUUAUAUUUCACCUGAGAUUUGCCUACUGCCCCACUUUGAUAAGUCCCCAGCUGUAGUUUAUCACUGUAAUUGAAAUAGAAUGCCAAUAAAGCUCCUGUCUGCACCCGCUGACCCCUCCCAGUCUGUGCACACUUUUAUCAGAUAAUGUGCAUGCUACUUUAAACAUUAACAAGUAAAAGAUCAAAGGCCAAGGUCAACUUAUCUGAUAAAAAAAUAUUUUUGUUUAAAAAAAGACAUGUUUGCACAGUACUUAUGCAAUGCAUGCACAAUAAUUGUUCUCCAAGGUAUUGAAUUACCUUGUGGCGGGUCUCAGGUAUUGUCUAUACCAGGAUAUAUCAAAUGGGAGAUUUAAAUUAUCAAUCUUUUUAUAAACCUAUAAUUUUACAAAUAUGAAAUAUGACCCACUCUUUUGUUCUCAAACUGUGUCGUCAAGGAAUAAACAGAUAAAAUUUAUUUAUUAUCUGUGUUUGCGUGUCCUAUAUGGGUGUAUUUUUCAAAUAACAUUAUUACCUAUUGCAAAUAUAAGUUCCACCCCUUUUUCCCCCAUACAUUAUCAAACUUGUAUUGGAUCUAUAACUAGCAAGCCACAAACAAUUAACAGAUUAAUAGUACAUUAUGCUUUAUCUCAAUAAAGUUAGAUAUCCCCACAGUUGAAAUAACCUCAUUUUUACUUGAUGUGCCAAGGAAACUUCAUUAAUGAUAUACUAAAAGAACCAGUUUGGCUAGUUUUUAUAAGGGAAAAAAGUAAAUUUUAUUGAAGGAUAGUUACUUAAACUUUAUUCCCCCUUCACCUAAUUUUCUUAUUAAAUAAAAGUCUCUACCUGUACCUAAUCAUAAGCAUUAACUGUAUUCCAGUCCUUCUCCUAGGAAAGUGGCAAACACAAAUUAAAAUGGGUCAAUCCAAUGUCACAUAAAAUUCUAUUGGAAAAAAUCAGCCUUUUACGCAUUGAGCAAUAUGUUUUAAGGAAUAAUAAAUAUAUAUUAAACAUAUUAAAGAAUCCAAC
rnacentral:lncRNA from 1 species